UUGACCCGUUCCUUGAAACACGGACCAAGGAGUCUAGUGCGCGUGCGAGUCCCCGGGACUUGAACAGGCCCGUGGGCGCAAUGAAAGUGAAGGGCGUUUCGGACGUCCGAGUAGGGAUCGUCGCCAAUUUCUGGUGACGCGCACCUACGGCCCGUCCGAGCCGAUUUCGGCUGGGCGGAGCAAGAGCACGCGCCCUGGGACCCGAAAGAUGGUGAACUAUGCCUGGGCAGGAUGAAGCCAGGGGAAACUCUGGUGGAGGUCCGUAGCGGUUCUGACGUGCAAAUCGAUCGUCGGACCUGGGUAUAGGGGCGAAAGACCUAUCGAAUCAUCUAGUAGCUGGUUCCCUCCGAA
rnacentral:rRNA from 1 species